UUGCAGUGAUGAGUUUUUAGCCUCAGAAAUAUAAUGUUGAAUAUUUUUCGAGCUUUUUAACUCUGAGCUCU
rfam:Stegodyphus mimosarum contig92529, whole genome shotgun sequence.